GGAAGCUAAGCCCUCCAGCGCCGAUGGUACUGCACCCGACAGGGUGUGGGAGAGUAGGACACCGCCGAAC
rnacentral:rRNA from 1 species